rnacentral:rRNA from 1 species
AGAGUUUGAUCCUGGCUCAGGAUGAACGCUGGCGGCGUGCCUAAUACAUGCAAGUCGAACGCUUCACUUCGGUGAAGAGUGGCGAACGGGUGAGUAAUACAUAAGUAACCUGGCAUCUACAGGGGGAUAACUGAUGGAAACGUCAGCUAAGACCGCAUAGGUGUAGAGAUCGCAUGAACUCUAUAUGAAAAGUGCUACGGGACUGGUAGAUGAUGGACUUAUGGCGCAUUAGCUGGUUGGUAGGGUAACGGCCUACCAAGGCGACGAUGCGUAGCCGACCUGAGAGGGUGACCGGCCACACUGGGACUGAGACACGGCCCAGACUCCUACGGGAGGCAGCAGUAGGGAAUUUUCGGCAAUGGGGGAAACCCUGACCGAGCAACGCCGCGUGAAGGAAGAAGUAAUUCGUUAUGUAAACUUCUGUCAUAGAGGAAGAACGGUGGAUAUAGGGAAUGAUAUCCAAGUGACGGUACUCUAUAAGAAAGCCACGGCUAACUACGUGCCAGCAGCCGCGGUAAUACGUAGGUGGCGAGCGUUAUCCGGAAUUAUUGGGCGUAAAGAGGGAGCAGGCGGCACUAAGGGUCUGUGGUGAAAGAUCGAAGCUUAACUUCGGUAAGCCAUGGAAACCGUAGAGCUAGAGUGUGUGAGAGGAUCGUGGAAUUCCAUGUGUAGCGGUGAAAUGCGUAGAUAUAUGGAGGAACACCAGUGGCGAAGGCGACGAUCUGGCGCAUAACUGACGCUCAGUCCCGAAAGCGUGGGGAGCAAACAGGAUUAGAUACCCUAGUAGUCCACGCCGUAAACGAUGAGUACUAAGUGUUGGGAGUCAAAUCUCAGU